rnacentral:rRNA from 1 species
UACGGAGGGUGCGAGCGUUGUCCGGAAUCACUGGGCGUAAAGGGCGCGUAGGCGGCGCGGAAAGUCAACGGUGAAAGCUUGGGGCUCAACCCCGAGUCGGCCGUCGAUACUUCCGUGCUCGAGCACUGUAGAGGCAGGUGGAAUUCCGGGUGUAGCGGUGGAAUGCGCAGAUAUCAGGAGGAACACCGAUGGCGAAGGCAGAUCUCUGGGCCGUAACUGACGCUGAGGAGCGAAAGCAUGGGUAGCAAACAGG